AGAGUUUGAUCAUGGCUCAGAUUGAACGCUGGCGGCAGGCCUAACACAUGCAAGUCGAACGGUAACAGAAAGCAGCUUGCUGCUUUGCUGACGAGUGGCGGACGGGUGAGUAAUGUCUGGGAAACUGCCUGAUGGAGGGGGAUAACUACUGGAAACGGUAGCUAAUACCGCAUAACGUCGCAAGACCAAAGAGGGGGACCUUCGGGCCUCUUGCCAUCGGAUGUGCCCAGAUGGGAUUAGCUUGUUGGUGGGGUAACGGCUCACCAAGGCGACGAUCCCUAGCUGGUCUGAGAGGAUGACCAGCCACACUGGAACUGAGACACGGUCCAGACUCCUACGGGAGGCAGCAGUGGGGAAUAUUGCACAAUGGGCGCAAGCCUGAUGCAGCCAUGCCGCGUGUAUGAAGAAGGCCUUCGGGUUGUAAAGUACUUUCAGCGGGGAGGAAGGGAGUAAAGUUAAUACCUUUGCUCAUUGACGUUACCCGCAGAAGAAGCACCGGCUAACUCCGUGCCAGCAGCCGCGGUAAUACGGAGGGUGCAAGCGUUAAUCGGAAUUACUGGGCGUAAAGCGCACGCAGGCGGUUUGUUAAGUCAGAUGUGAAAUCCCCGGGCUCAACCUGGGAACUGCAUCUGAUACUGGCAAGCUUGAGUCUCGUAGAGGGGGGUAGAAUUCCAGGUGUAGCGGUGAAAUGCGUAGAGAUCUGGAGGAAUACCGGUGGCGAAGGCGGCCCCCUGGACGAAGACUGACGCUCAGGUGCGAAAGCGUGGGGAGCAAACAGGAUUAGAUACCCUGGUAGUCCACGCCGUAAACGAUGUCGACUUGGAGGUUGUGCCCUUGAGGCGUGGCUUCCGGAGCUAACGCGUUAAGUCGACCGCCUGGGGAGUACGGCCGCAAGGUUAAAACUCAAAUGAAUUGACGGGGGCCCGCACAAGCGGUGGAGCAUGUGGUUUAAUUCGAUGCAACGCGAAGAACCUUACCUGGUCUUGACAUCCACGGAAGUUUUCAGAGAUGAGAAUGUGCCUUCGGGAACCGUGAGACAGGUGCUGCAUGGCUGUCGUCAGCUCGUGUUGUGAAAUGUUGGGUUAAGUCCCGCAACGAGCGCAACCCUUAUCCUUUGUUGCCAGCGGUCCGGCCGGGAACUCAAAGGAGACUGCCAGUGAUAAACUGGAGGAAGGUGGGGAUGACGUCAAGUCAUCAUGGCCCUUACGACCAGGGCUACACACGUGUUACAAUGGCGCAUACAAAGAGAAGCGACCUCGCGAGAGCAAGCGGACCUCAUAAAGUGCGUCGUAGUCCGGAUUGGAGUCUGCAACUCGACUCCAUGAAGUCGGAAUCGCUAGUAAUCGUGGAUCAGAAUGCCACGGUGAAUACGUUCCCGGGCCUUGUACACACCGCCCGUCACACCAUGGGAGUGGGUUGCAAAAGAAGUAGGUAGCUUAACCUUCGGGAGGGCGCUUACCACUUUGUGAUUCAUGACUGGGGUGAAGUCGUAACAAGGUAACCGUAGGGGAACCUGCGGUUGGAUCACCU
rnacentral:rRNA from 1 species